rnacentral:rRNA from 1 species
CAGCAGCCGCGGUAAUACGUAGGUGGCAAGCGUUGUCCGGAAUUAUUGGGCGUAAAGGGCUCGCAGGCGGUUUCUUAAGUCUGAUGUGAAAGCCCCCGGCUCAACCGGGGAGGGUCAUUGGAAACUGGGAAACUUGAGUGCAGAGGAGGAGAGUGGAAUUCCACGUGUAGCGGUGAAAUGCGUAGAGAUGUGGAGGAACACCAGUGGCGAAGGCGACUCUCUGGUCUGUAACUGACGCUGAGGAGCGAAAGCGUGGGGAGCGAACAGGAUUAGAUACCCCCGUAGUCCCUGUCUCUUAUAU